rnacentral:lncRNA from 1 species
CUCUAUCCACCACACCUGGCUGCUCUUAGCUUUCCUGUAUCUAUCUCAGUUUCCUCAUCUAUAAAAUGAGGAUCAUAAUAGCACCUAUCUCUUGAUGUUGCUGUGAAAAUCAAAUGAGAUAAUAUUUGUAAGCUGCUUAGUCACAUUGUAAGCACUUAAUAAAUGAUUAUUACCCACCCUCCAUAUGUUAUCUCCUCUCUCUAGAAUGGGAUGCUCCUUGAGGGCAAGUACUGAGUUUUCAAAGACACAGAAAUGGGAGCUGGAGUCUCAUGUUUGAGGAACAACAAGAAGGCUAAUUUGGCUGGACAGAAGAGUAUAUUAAUGUCUGAAAAGUGGGACUUCUCUGUGGCUGGGAUACUGCCCUUCUUUAUUCCCUGGCUUCCUUCAAGAAUCAACUUAAAUCCCACCUUUGAGAGCCUGGAAACUGGGUCUGAGAAUCUCUUACUCAGGAGUUUGCAGGCCUUCAAGCUAAGACUAAAGGAAGAAAACAAGGAAAGUCAGGAUUUCUGCUCUUUCUGGAAGAUUAUAGCAGUACUCUAGCCAAAGAUAUCAACUACACCAGAAGUUGAAGGCAUUGGAAACUAUAGCCAAACAAGGUCUGAAUGCACUCCUUAAAGAAGCAAGCCUACUGAGACUGUUGAGUAUUGAUCCCAGCAGAGACACUGCUCAGUGAGGAGCAGAAAGAGAACAAAUUCAGAAGACCCUCCCCCAUAUAUUUUCCAUAGGUGGACUUUUCCUGUGUCAUUUCUAUGAUGACUCCAAUAAUGAUGUUUAUGGUUGUAAGAGACAAUGCUCAAGAUUUAUGGGGAGAAAAUUCUAUUGUAAAUUGUCUUAUACUAUUUAAUUAAAUGUCUUUGUUUUGAACUGAUUGUGUUCU